rnacentral:rRNA from 1 species
UACGUAGGGUGCAAGCGUUGUCCGGAAUUAUUGGGCGUAAAGAGCUCGUAGGCGGUCUGUUGCGUCGGCUGUGAAAACCCGGGGCUCAACCCCGGGCCUGCAGCCGAUACGGGCAGACUAGAGUUCGGCAGGGGAGACUGGAAUUCCUGGUGUAGCGGUGAAAUGCGCAGAUAUCAGGAGGAACACCGGUGGCGAAGGCGGUUCUCUGGGCAUGUCCUGACGCUGAGGUGCGAAAGUGUGGGGAGCGAACAGG